CGGAAAAAAGCUGCGCGCCCCUUGCUCCCCCUGCCUCUCCUGUCUCCGCUGGUUACUCCGCUGGAACCUUGGUUUCGCUGUGACUCAGAUCUGGUUGACAACUUGUGUGGAAUCCCUAAGAUCAAACCAACAGCGCUCACCCAAAAAUGAAGACUCCCUUUACAGGGAUAAACUCUCCUAGAAGACUUUGGGAUGGCCGAGAACAGGCGAUGGAUGAUCUGCUGAGAAGAUGGGUUUCCCGCCUGUGGUUACCUCUUCUAAGGAAGAAGAUGCUGGGAAGGAGGAUGAGAAACUGUGGAAUCCUUCCAGACUGAUGUGAUUUGAUGGACCAAGAUGCCCUGAAAGGUUGCCUUGAACACCCCUCAAAAAAUUACUUCACUCAAUAAACAGCAGGAAGACAUUUGGGUAGAACUAUGCCCAUAUUUCUAAAUAUUGUCUAUAAAUGUUUAUUUACAUUUAGAGGAGGAUAUGGUAUACAGAUUUGCAUUGGUAUGGAUCUUGGUUUAUUGAUACAAAUUUAAAGUCAAUUUUGUUAUACUGUGUAUAGAUAUUUCUGAUCUUAAUUAAGUAUUGUGUUUGUCCAGGUCAUUUAAAAAUGUUAUGUAUAAUUAGUAAAUAUAGGUUAAUAGAUAAUCAUCUAUAACAGUCAAGCUUGUAGUCAUGUUAGUUAAAUUUUUUUUAGAUGGGCAGAUAUGUAUUUCAGUUGAAUAGGCAUUCUUCAAACCUUUCAAAGACUAUGGACUAUGGCAUUUAAAAUGUUUUAAGAGCUUAAGAUUUUUCAUGACAAUGAGAUACAUCUGCUCCUGGCAGCACCAAUUACUUCAAGAUGGGUACUUCAUCCUCUUGAAGAAGCUCCUCAUGGAGUCUAUUAGCCAUUGGGGCCAGAAACUGCUCUUGCCUGGGCUUCUUGAUGAACUGGAUAUGCAGGAACUGCAGAGAAAUGACUACUGAACUUGCCUAAAGGUGAGAUGAUCCUUCAGGGUUCCUGCUUCAUGAAAGAAUCUGCCAGACAUUCUGCAGGACACAGAAGAAAGUGACUGACAAACUGCCAAUAUAGGCAGAAUUGUCUUUGAAAUUUCCUGCUUCGUGAAAAAGUUUGCCGUAUACUAUGGGCCUGUAGGCUGAAGAUGGAUGCUCCAACAUUACAGAAGAACUUUGGGUUCUUUUGGGUUCAGGCAGUGAUAUGUCUCUGUCAAUUCUAGAGUUUUGGAAGUUGCUUACAAUGCAUUUCCUGUUUACUUAGGUAAUAUUAUAUUCUUCUGGAGUCUUUUAUGGAGUUGAAGAAUUUAUAGUUAUAAUUAUAGUUUUCCUUAGAUAUGACAAAAGCUAAAGUAGAUAUAAAUAUUUUAAUUUUAAUUCUUGCUUGAUACCUGUUUUGUUAUAUGUAAUUUUACUAUGUUAAAGUUAAAACCUUCCUUUUUAUUUAAACAGAAAAGGGAAGGUAAUGUAGGAUUCCCCUCUGUAUGCUGUGAAUAUCAUUGGUUAAUAAAGAAACUGCUUUGGGCCUAUAGCAAAACUGUAGGGGAACGAAGCUAGGCAAGGAAAACUAAAUGGAAUACUGGGAGAAAGAAGGGCAGAGUUAGAGAGAAGCCAUGGAGCCACCACCAGAGACAGAUGCUGGAAACUUUACCAGGAAAGCUACUGCCACGUGGUGAUACAUAGAUUAAUGGAAAUGGGUUAAAUUAAGAUGUAAGAGUUAGCCAAUAAGAAGUUAGA